UACGUAUUUUACAAGCGUUGUCCGGAUUUACUGGGCGUAAAGAGCGCGCAGGCGGUCGUUCAAGUCGAGUGUGAAAGCCCCCGGCUCAACUGGGGAGGGUCAUUCGAUACUGAUCGACUCGAAGGCAGGAGAGGGUAGUGGAAUUCCCGGUGUAGUGGUGAAAUGCGUAGAUAUCGGGAGGAACACCAGUGGCGAAGGCGACUACCUGGCCUGUUCUUGACGCUGAGGCGCGAAAGCUAGGGGAGCAAACGGG
rnacentral:rRNA from 1 species